rnacentral:rRNA from 1 species
AAUAGAUACCCUGGUAGUCCACGCCGUAAACGGUGGGCACUAGGUGUGGGCAACAUUCCACGUUGUCCGUGCCGCAGCUAACGCAUUAAGUGCCCCGCCUGGGGAGUACGGCCGCAAGGCUAAAACUCAAAGGAAUUGACGGGGGCCCGCACAAGCGGCGGAGCAUGUGGCUUAAUUCGACGCAACGCGAAGAACCUUACCAAGGCUUGACAUACACCGGAAACGUCUGGAGACAGGCGCCCCCUUGUGGUCGGUGUACAGGUGGUGCAUGGCUGUCGUCAGCUCGUGUCGUGAGAUGCUGGGUUAAGUCCCGCAACGAGCGCAACCCUUGUCCCGUGUUGCCAGCAGGCCCUUGUGGUGCUGGGGACUCACGGGAGACCGCCGGGGUCAACUCGGAGGAAGGUGGGGACGACGUCAAGUCAUCAUGCCCCGUUAUGUCUUGGGCUGCACACGUGCUACAAUGGCCGGUACAAAGAGCUGCGAUACCGUGAGGUGGAGCGAAUCUCAAAAACGCCGGUCUCAGUUCGGAUUGGGGU